AAAAGACGCGGCCAAUGGCUGCGAGCGCCAGAGGCCGGGGAGCAGGCGAGGCGCUGGGUGCUGGUCGGCUGUUGGAGCGCUGGUAGGAAUGGCAGCGGGGCCGGGAGAGCGGCGGCGCUCGGCGCCGGGUGGGUCGCGGUAGCCGGCUGCGGGGUUCGCCCUUUGUCUGCACCCUUCCAAAAUGGCUGCGGCCAGGGCGGGCGGUGACAGCUGCGCGGGCGCUCCCGGGGCCCGGGCGGUCAGAGAGGAGCAGGCGUCCUGGCACGAAGGCGCUUUCGGGGCGGAGAGGUGCGCAGAGGACGCCGCGGACGCGACGGGUCANCUCCCCUGGCUUACAGCGGCCGAAAACAAAUUCCAGAUGGCAAAGCUCCUUGUUGGGACCUCAACGCAACUGACCUUCCUAGAAUCAUCGUCACCUCUGAAGAGACUUGCCACGGUCUGCACAGAUCCAGCACUGGGGAAUGAGGAAUUUGACAUUGUAAUUUUUUUUUCCUUUCNUGCCUUGAAAGAGAGACACUUCCCACCAGCUUGUACUACCCACACACACCCUCCCAGAUGAAGGCAGGAGGAUAAGGAGUUCAACCUUUGUUAUGCAUUUAGUUGGAGGCCAGCCUGGGGUCUUGUGGGGCCCUGUAUCAAAAAGGUGAGGUGAGAAUUCUUCUCUCAAAAGCAGAG